CAGAUGAAGACAACUUGCUGGGCUGGGACGAUCUGGGUGUAGUAAAAGAAGUUCAGCCAAACAGAGCUGGACAUGCAGGUGCUCAAAUGCUGAAUGCCACACCAAAGCUGGGUAUUUCAGCUGUCUCUCCCAGGCUCACAAAAACAAAAACUGGUUCUCCACUACCGAGGUUAAAGACAAAAGGAGGAGCAAACAGAAAUGGAGAUCUGGUGGAGCAGCGUAUGUUUGAGUUAUGGAAAACAAGGUUGAAUAUAUCAACUCCGGUUUUGCAUCUCAACGGCAGAUGGAAAACAGGGUCAAGUCAAAUGAUAAAUUGGAUUUAUUGUAUCUGAUUUGCACAGCUUUUUUCUGAUUGUUUCACACUGCAUGAUUUUAAUUUUUUUUUAUAUAGAGCUCUUGUUUCCCAAAUCUGGUAUUUGACUGCAUCUUACCAAACAGAUUCCUUUUACAGUUAAAAUGUCUAGGGCGCCCAAAUGCCUUGCAUGUAACGCCAUCAUUGUGAGACCAGGGUUCAAAUCUUGCUUUCGGAUAUGCACAGGGUUCCCUUGAAGAGCUGUGCAAUGCCCAGCACCGUCCGGGUUUGGGGGGGUUAGUAAUCGAGUAGGGUUGCCCUCGGAUGGAAUACCCUGAUGAGCCAAAACAUUCUGACCACUCAUAGUUGAAGCGAAUGAAGUUGAUCAUCCCCUAACAAGGACAAAUGUUAAGGUCUGGGUAGACUAGACGCUAAGAAAACAAUCAGUUCUAAUAGUCAACGUGUUUGUUGCAGGGGAAAUGGACUGGAGUAAAGACCUGUGCAACUUUGACAAGGGCCAAAUUGUUAUGGCCAUAUGACUGGGUCAUAGCAUCUCUGAAACUGCGGGGUUUGUGGGGUUCUCCCGGUCAGCAGUGGUGAGUACCUCCCGACAGUGAUCUGAGGAGGAACAAACCACAAAUUGGUGACAGGGUGUUGGGCGCCCAAGGCUCAUCGAUGUGUGAAGUCA
ensembl:lncRNA